rnacentral:sRNA from 1 species
UAACACAUGGAAAAUCACGAGUUCACGA